CCAAGGAAACAUCAGACUGAGCCGAGCCAUUUUGGCUGGGAGACCUCAGGAUUUCCAGGGGAGUCAGUGUACCCCAGAGGUGAGAAGGGAAGAUCUGACCUUGCUGCCAGGCUCCUCAGGGGAUGGACAGCCCAUAAUUGCCCUGACCGCCUUCACCUGUAACAUCUGCCCUUGCAUGUCUACUGGCCCAGAAGAGCCUGUGAAGCUCAGCCUGAACCAUGCCAUGGCAGCAGGAAGACUGCCAGAGAGUCUACAAGGCCAGUAAAUGAGUGAGGCAUGAAAGGAGCAGCUCAAGGAAGAUAAGGUGAGAGCAGAAAAGCUAAAUGAAUUCUUCAUAUUGAUGUUUGCAGUAGAGGAGCUUAGGGAAAUUCUAUCCA
rnacentral:lncRNA from 1 species